rnacentral:rRNA from 1 species
CCUUUUGUAUAAUGGGUCAGCGACUUAUAUUCUGUAGCAAGGUUAACCGAAUAGGGGAGCCGAAGGGAAACCGAGUCUUAACUGGGCGUUAAGUUGCAGGGUAUAGACCCGAAACCCGGUGAUCUAGCCAUGGGCAGGUUGAAGGUUGGGUAACACUAACUGGAGGACCGAACCGACUAAUGUUGAAAAAUUAGCGGAUGACUUGUGGCUGGGGGUGAAAGGCCAAUCAAACCGGGAGAUAGCUGGUUCUCCCCGAAAGCUAUUUAGGUAGCGCCUCGUGAAUUCAUCUCCGGGGGUAGAGCACUGUUUCGGCAAGGGGGUCAUCCCGACUUACCAACCCGAUGCAAACUGCGAAUACCGGAGAAUGUUAUCACGGGAGACACACGGCGGGUGCUAACGUCCGUCGUGAAGAGGGAAACAACCCAGACCGCCAGCUAAGGUCCCAAAGUCAUGGUUAAGUGGGAAACGAUGUGGGAAGGCCCAGACAGCCAGGAUGUUGGCUUAGAAGCAGCCAUCAUUUAAAGAAAGCGUAAUAGCUCACUGGUCGAGUCGGCCUGCGCGGAAGAUGUAACGGGGCUAAACCAUGCACCGAAGCUGCGGCAGCGACGCUGAUGCGUUGUUGGGUAGGGGAGCGUUCUGUAAGCCUGCGAAGGUGUGCUGUGAGGCAUGCUGGAGGUAUCAGAAGUGCGAAUGCUGACAUAAGUAACGAUAAAGCGGGUGAAAAGCCCGCUCGCCGGAAGACCAAGGGUUCCUGUCCAACGUUAAUCGGGGCAGGGUGAGUCGACCCCUAAGGCGAGGCCGAAAGGCGUAGUCGAUGGGAAACAGGUUAAUAUUCCUGUACUUGGUGUUACUGCGAAGGGGGGACGGAGAAGGCUAUGUUGGCCGGGCGACGGUUGUCCCGGUUUAAGCGUGUAGGCUGGUUUUCCAGGCAAAUCCGGAAAAUCAAGGCUGAGGCGUGAUGACGAGGCACUACGGUGCUGAAGCAACAAAUGCCCUGCUUCCAGGAAAAGCCUCUAAGCAUCAGGUAACAUCAAAUCGUACCCCAAACCGACACAGGUGGUCAGGUAGAGAAUACCAAGGCGCUUGAGAGAACUCGGGUGAAGGAACUAGGCAAAAUGGUGCCGUAACUUCGGGAGAAGGCACGCUGAUAUGUAGGUGAAGUCCCUUGCGGAUGGAGCUGAAAUCAGUCGAAGAUACCAGCUGGCUGCAACUGUUUAUUAAAAACACAGCACUGUGCAAACACGAAAGUGGACGUAUACGGUGUGACGCCUGCCCGGUGCCGGAAGGUUAAUUGAUGGGGU